rnacentral:rRNA from 1 species
CCUACGGGAGGCUGCAGUCGAGAAUUAUUCACAAUGGGGGAAACCCUGAUGCUGCGACGCCGCGUGGGGGAAUGAAGGUCUUCGGAUUGUAAACCUCUGUCAUGUGGGAGCAAAUUAAAAAGAUAGUACCACAAGAGAAAGAGACGGCUAACUCUGUGCCAGCAGCCGCGGUAAUACAGAGGUCUCAAGCGUUGUUCGGAAUCACUGGGCGUAAAGCGUGCGUAGGCUGUUUCGUAAGUCGGGUGUGAAAGGCGCGGGCUCAACCCGCGGACGGCACAUGAUACUGCGAGACUAGAGUAGUGGAGGGGGAACCGGAAUUCUCGGUGUAGCAGUGAAAUGCGUAGAUAUCGAGAGGAACACUCGUGGCGAAGGCGGGUUCCUGGACAUUAACUGACGCUGAGGCACGAAGGCCAGGGGAGCGAAAGGGAUUAGAUACCCGAGUAGUC